GAACUUAGAAGUACUUGAUGUUCUGUUUAUAUUCAGCAAUGUUUGAACACGAUGUUCAAACAAGCCGCCACUGAGCCAUGGAUGGCGAAUUGGAGGCGGUUGCGUACGUUAUUAAUAAAUAGCUCAGAACAUCCUAGUACUUCUUAGUUUC
rnacentral:ncRNA from 1 species